rnacentral:lncRNA from 1 species
GAGUGUUGCUAGGAUUUAGAUGGCUAAUCAGGAAAUCAAAGGGAGGAUGGAAGAUCAGGAUAAGAGACAUGCCAUUGAGGUGAAGCGCUUUGAGAUAGACACCGCUUAUUAUCGGAAGGUCAACCAAGCUUUGGAGUCAUCUACAAAGGAGCACGACAUCACCAAGGAGAGGUUGGCUAGAGCUUCGAAGGUCAUUGAAGAUGAGAAGAGGAGACAUAUCCUUGUGAGGGAUCAGAGGGAAGACAGG